AAGAUACAUCUUAUCUGUAAGUUUUUUGGGAGGGUUCUCACACCUAAUCUGUCUCAACAAAAGUUAUUCCAGAAAUGCAGAAAUCAGUUUUUUUAACUUUACUAAUUUGUGAAUUAGUAUUUGUCUCAGAUAUCUUAUAAAAAGUUAAAUUUAGUUUUGACAUGUCACCCUUAAAAUUCAUCCAGCUGAACUGGGGAUUAACUUUGUAAUUAAGGAUUAUCCUUGUUUCUUUGAUUUUGUUUGCUGUUGUUGGUGUCUCAUUGGAGCACACUCUACUAUCUUGGUUGUUAACAUUUUGAUAACUUACAUGGAUGUUUUAUAUCUGUUUCUAUGUCAUUCUUCAGUAGUGAACUAAGGGGAAGGCUACAACAAUAUCUUCUGUCAAUAUAAUCCUAACUACAUGUCUGUAUUCCUGAAAAUAUAAAUUAUUAAUUUGUUUUAUUUUUGUCUUGAUCUGCAUAAAACUCUUCUGUUUACCUAAACAUGCAUGCAAGAGAAGUUAUUAAAAUUAUAAACAGUUUAGAUAUUGUUAAAAUACCUGUAAGGUAACUGUGAUUAUGCUAAAAUAACUGAAAUAAUAAAGCUAGUUUUACUGCUAUGAACAAACUAAUAAUUUGAUUAAAUCUGAAACUAAAAUUCUGUGUUGAAGGAUCCCUAUGACUUUUACAAGUUAAGUAAUGAUACCUCAGGCCCGUAGCCAGGAAUUUCCCAGGGGGGGUUCGUUGGACUCAUGAACUCGACUUUAACAGUCACAAUUUGAACAAAACGUUGACUUUAACAGUGCUUAUUUGAUUUCAAAGGGGGGUUCGGACGAACCCCCCGAACCCCCCCUGGCUACGGGUAUGUACCUGUUCCUUUGCUAUUGGUUUUGUCAUGCAUGAGUAAGGAUUUUGUGUUAAAAUUAUAAUAAUAUCCAUUCUAGUCCUUUAAAUCAACUAAUAAAAUUGCUUCCAUAUUCUCAAAUUAAUGUUCAUCAAAUUUUUAUGGAAUAAGUCAAAUCAAUUUUGCUAUAGAACAUUGAAAUCAACUGCUCAGGUGAACAGUUACACACAGUGAUUUUGCCAAUGUGUUACCAUGAUGAGUUCCAUAUGAGCAAUCAUAUCAUUUACUUUUAUAUCAUAGUGUAUUAACUUUAAAGAGUUCAUGAAUUUUCUCAUUUAAAAUUAGAUUAUGAUCACUUGCAAGAAAAUUGGUUUACACAUGCACCAUUUCAAUUGUAAUCAUGGUAACUGUUUGCAUAUGUUCUGACUUUAAAUAAGUCUAUGUAAGUUAUCGACACAAAAUUUAUUGUUCAAUGAAAUUUCAUACUGUUUUGAAGCAACUCUAGCUCAGGAUCAACCACUGUAUAUAUUUUUAUACUGUUGCAAGAUGGUUUUCAAAACAGAAUAAAAGUUUUACUAUAUAAAGCCAACAUUUCAUUCCAAUGAAAAACAUAUUCCCCAAGCAUACAAAUCUGACUGAAGCAUUACCAAUGAAGGUCAAUUAUCCCUGAUUUUACGUGUUUUCAGUAAGUACAUCAUGUCUGGAACACUGAAUCAAUCUAAUAGUAAAUAUUUCUACAUCAAAUAUGAUCAAUCAGUUUCUCUCUUCACUGUCAUAUUUGACCAUAAUCAAAUUUUAUGACUUUUCAGGAUAUUAUCUGGCAUUGAGUCAGAAUCUUAAUGCAGUGUAGGUGUAGAAGUAUGACAGUAUUGACUUUCUGUUUAAAAUUAAUAGAUUGUAAACAUGUACUGAUCUCAUUACUGAAACCAACAAGAAACAAGCUAAAAACUAUUUUCUACUGAUGAUUUUCAUAAAACAAGAAUCUGUGUGGGGUAGGUCGAACAUGGGGAUUCCCUCAUGAUGAAGAAUGGUCAAAUUUAUUCUGAAGGACAACUGAGGAUGAAACUGACAAAACCUAUAUCGAAAACCUACUUUUUUUCUUGGGACUCCUCUUCCUUAUUUAGAACGCAGUUCUAGUUGAUUUUGUGUGCCAUUUCUCUCACUGUGUGUUUGCAUAUAGUAGUUAAAAAAAGAACCUGAAGUUUGGCAUGUUUGUCACAAUUCAUAUUUUCUACUAGCAAUAUGAAAGUUGCAAGAGUAUAUCAUAUAUAAAAUAAUUUGCCUUAUAGUAAUAGAGUUGAAUUAAGUUAAAAAGUAAACCUACAAAUCUUGCCUACUUUCAAAAAAGUAGACAUUGCUAGUAUAGAUCUGACAUUGUAAAAACUUUUUUUCCCUUACAAAUCAAAGUCCUAUUUUGCCAUUUUAAUCAUAACGAACACCAAAACAAAUUCAAGUAACUUCAAAAAGAACCUCUGUUUUAUAAUACAUAUGAAUGACAGUUAGUUAAUCUUGCUAAGUAGACACUGAGAUAUCUUUAAAAUUAAAAUAUUUUUUCCCCAUCAAGCAGAAUUGGUUUUGUAAUUGAGCUAUAUAUAUAAAUGACACCAACACAGCUUCAAGUCACUUAAAAUAAGAUAUUACAUACUAUAUAUUACUGUUUAAUCCAUUAAAAUGACAGUAAGUAUGUAUUAUAUAAUCAAAAUACCACACGAUCAUAUCAAAACUUGAAUUCCAGAUGCUGAGACAAAAUAUAUACCUAAGAAAAGACAUUCAAACUAAUUAAAUGGUUAUAAAUCCAGACUUUAUUACAAAUUAAUUCAAGCAUCAGAAGUAUAAAAUAUGAAUGAAAUUGAGUGUAACUGCUAUAGGCUUAAAGUUUGUGUGUGGGAAAUCGGUCAUGACAGUAAUCAAAAGUAAAUCUCCAUCUAAAUAUGUACUACUGACAUUGAAAUGAUUAGUAUUACAGAUGAAUGAAAUAUUUGCACUGAUAUACUUUCUUCACUCAUACAUGGCAAGCAAUUCCAUUGCUGUAAUUGGGACAUAUAUAGAAAUGAGAAGAUGUGGUAUGAAUGCCAAUGAGACAACUCUCCAUCCAAGGCACAGUGUUUAAAAAGUAAACAAUUAUAGGUCAAAGUAUGGACUUCACAACAGAGCUAUGGCUCACAACCAACAACACGCUAUAAAGGGCCCCAAAAAGACUAGCGUAAAACAAUUCAAAGCAAACAGGAAAACAAACUGUCUAAUCUAUGUAAAAAACAAGAAACAAGAAACAUCUAUGAACCACAUCAGCAAAUGACAGACAAGAUCAACAAGACAGAAACCAAAUGACAAAAACAACUAAAAGUCAUCUAAAUGCCCAUGGCAUUAUCAGGUUUUUUUUUUAAUUAAUGAGAUUGAAUGACCCUCAGUUAUCCUUUGCUCCACUCCUAUAUUAGACUAUCACAUAUAUACCUCCCUUGUGUGUCCCUGUAUUCAAUAAAGGCUAAUACAUGAAUAAGAUGCUUGCCUCUUGCUCAUGAAAAGAGAGAUGAGAGGUAUGAAGACAAGAAGAAAGCAACCCAAUGAGACAAAUAAGCUAAAGGCAUCUACAGACUAUUGUAUAUUAUAAUUACUUUUUAUUCACUGGUACUUUAUAAGCUUAUAAGAUGCUUGAUUCUUACUAUGAACAGAUUGUUGAUCUAGGGUACAUGUGAACGAGCCAACAAACCACACCAUGGCAUUUACACAAAAAAAAACAAAAAACAAAAAGACAAUCUUGUUUACAUUGAUAUACAACAAUUGACAAAAUGAAUGAUUUUUGGUAUGGUCUGUGACAUAACUAUCACAACAGAGAGUAUCUAUUUAUACUAUGAUGGAUGGUAAUGGCUUGAUCUAUAACCAGACUUUCAUUAAUCUUCGCAGAAAGAAUUCUUUGAUUAAUGAUUGUUCAUGUGACGCCAUGAUUGUCUUUCUCUUUUUCAGAAAGAAUCAACAUAGUUACUGUUCUUUCACAUGAAAUUACAUAUACUGACAGUCAGGCUUCAUCUUUAACUGGACUAUGAUUCCCUUUGACAGAUUUUUACCAAUUACACAAAAGAGACAGUUUGUUGGUAUAAGGGUCCAAUAGAGGAACAGCUUCAAACUUUAUAUUUUCCAGCAUAAAUAUGCACAACUUCAACCAAUAAAACACAAUUUGUCA
rnacentral:lncRNA from 1 species